rnacentral:lncRNA from 1 species
UUGAGUUGCAGAAAUUUUUACACUCUUGAUAUUUGACUGUUUUAAAAUAAGUUUACAUUUACUGAGUGUUACCAUAGUAUAUGAUACCAAUAAGCUCCCUAGAAAUUUAAACACUUAUAGAAAAUACCAAAUGCUACUGUCUCAUGCCUUGCUUUGCAAUCCUGGUUUGUUCCCUAAUAUGGAGAUGAUGUAAGCAAUGUAAUUUAGAUUUCUCCUCUACAGGAUCACCAGCCAUGUCUCAACUAACUUUUAUCAAUGGAGAUUCUCAGUAGAUACAUAUUUCUUUAUUAUAAAACCCUUCUGUACUGAUCAUUAGGUAAUUCUAGUAAGUGUGGGUGUAUCCCAAGUGUUAAGAGUGUCAGCCUCAUUUCAUUUCAGCUUGAUCUGCUGCAGGAAAGCACAAAUUACAUGAAGGCAAUUUCCCCCAGAACAACUCACUUCCUUGAGAAGAGAGAUUAACUUGGAUGAACAAUGAUUUGUCACAAUUUAUUUUUGAGGGUAGUGGUUAAAAAGAAGUGCUAAUGCAGUCUUUUCAGAGUGAAUCCUGCUAAAAAUGCAUUAUUCUCCAGUGAGCAUACCUUAUAAUUAAAAACUCAUACAUAUAAAUUUACUUUUCGGAAAAUUUGUAUAUAUUACCAUAUAUAACAAUUAUUAAAAUCUUAAAUCUUUACAAUCCUUAAAAUUGGAUGGGCUUUAAAUCUGAUUUUGGAUUUAGCAAAUCUGAUAGGUUAUUCUCAGCAAUUCCAUUGAACAACCAUCAAUCCAGAGUCAACACUAUUUCUGCAAGUCUUAGCAGGACUGAGUUUUGUGAAUGGAUAGAGGGUAUUAACACCCUGGUCGGUUUUCACUACAUUUCAACUAUCACAGAACUUGAGUGUGAAAGACCAUGGAGAGGAGUGUAAGAAAAGGCACUAAUGAUAUUACUGACUUUUCUAAGUUUAUUCAAAUUCUGCAGUAUUCAACAGAAGGAACAAAGCAGGUUGUGUUGCUGCUACUAUUGCAUGGACCCAAACCCGACGCGUCCCCCCUCAGGCUCACAGCCACUGCACUGCGCGCACUGUGUGCGAUGUGGGCUUGUUGUUGCUGAUUCAGGGAAAGGUCAGAAUGCUGAUUUGUUUUAUGUCUGCUUUUUAAUGAGGGUUUGAUCAGAGAGCAAUAAAGAAAAAAGUAAAUAACAGGAGAAAUGUUUAUUAACAGGUCCCUCCACCUCAAUCACCUAAAGAAAAAGCAGACCUUAAAAUACUGUUGUGAAAUUUCUAGGGUGUGUCUACCUAUGUGCUUGCAACCCUUCAGUUUGAAGUAGCUUUUCAAAAAUAUGUUAUAAACAUGUUGCUUCAUCCUCGCCCUUUUAGCAUGUUAACGUCUAAUCUGAGUUAAACAUGACGCAAUCGCCAGCAAGCUCUCUGUUUCUGCUUCCUUGGACAAUGCAAAUCAAGACAGUCUUAUUCUGAGGAGGGUAGUUAAAAGUCUAGUCAAUUCUGUUUAUACUUCAGAGACUCCAAUAUUCUGUAGUUUAGCUUAAAUAAGACACUCUCAUAAUUGGGCUUUAAUUAUUCUGUUCCAAGAUAAAUUAAAGAGAACAUACUAAAGAGAAACUAAGGAAAAAACAACAAAAUAAAUGAUUUAGCAUAACGCAGGUAAAUAAAUUUGAACUUAAAAACAGACCAAAUGUUAGAUUAGGCUGAAUACAAAUGACCCAUUGAUGGAGCUUAAAAAGAAAACCAGAAAGCUAGCAAUAGAUGUUUCUACAUUGUUGUUACAAGACUUGACUGACAGCUAUAAUGCACUGUAAUAUUUUUGAAAUGAUAAAAUAUGUGUUUGAGAGACUUGAGAUCUUUCAAUACUUGUGCAUAGUAUUGAAGCUAUAUGAACCAGAAAUGAAAAAGUGAGAAUACUCCUUUGCUCAAAUCAUGUUAAGUGAAUUCCCUUAUGUUCCUUGCAUUCAUUUUUAAGAUAGUUAGAAACCAUUACAGAAGAUGAUGCAGAAAUACUGUUUAUGAACUUUAUGAUUUUUAUAGUAACGUAUGUACUCAAAUUCUAAAUGUUUGUGCAUAAUCUCUGACCCAACAAUACCACUCCAUAUCACUCCAAGAAUUCUUCCAUCAAAAGUAAAAACACCAACAUCUAAAGACGUGUACCUCUAUGUCCAUUACCACAUAGCUUGAAAUCAUAAAAAAUUUGGAAAUUAAUAAAUGUUUGGCAAUGGAUUUUGAUUGAAUAAAAUUAUGGCGCCCUCAUAGUACACAUUAUUAAGCAUCUACUAAAGGUAAUAUGGUAGUGUUAUAUGCUGGAUAUCUGUAAUAUAAUAGAAAGACAAUGUACUAAAAGUGUUUGCAACUAAAAAUUACUAAAUGUGGUAUAUAUAAGUAUAUACAAUGAAAUAUCAUUCAGCCUUAAAAAAGAAUGAAAUUCUGAUGCAUGCUACCACAUGGAUGAACUUUGAAAACAUUAUGCUAAGUGAAAGACACCGGACAUAAAAGGACAAAUAUUUUAUGAUUCCACUUACACAAAGUACCUGGAAUAGGCAAAUUCAUAGACAUAGAAAGCAAAGCAGAGAUCACCAGAGGCCGAGGGGAGGAGAGAAGGAGGGGUUAUUGUUUAAUGUCUGCAGAGUUUCUGUUUGAGAUGAGGAGCAAGUUCUGAAAAUGGAAAAUGGAUGUUUGCUCAACAUCAUGAAUGGAUUUAGUAUCAGUGAACUGUACACUUAAAAAUGGUAAAAACAGUAAAUUUUGUGUUAUAUAUAUUUUACCACAAUAAAAAAUAACAAAACUCUACUACAAAAUAAAGCACAAAUUUGCCCCAUAUUAUGAAGUUUCUAUACAAUUACACUUAUUUUGGGAGCUUAUACAGCUGUUAUUAUAUUUUGGGAAAUGGAAAGAAAGCAGCGGCUGAAGUUGUCCUCUUGAGUUUUCUCUCUGUCCGUUUCUCCGUCUCUGUGUUUUCUAAUAUUCUUGUCACACCCCUCUUUGAACACUAGCGUCAGCAGGAAUGACGCUAGCUAAUACUGGUCUCCUCCAGCACCAGCUAAGAGUUUUAAUUCAUUUUUAUGCUGGCAAUUGUUUUAGACCCUAGGAGGGAUGAAUAUAACUUGUCAUUCUUCCUUAACUUGGCAAAAGCAAAUAUAUUACUGCAGAGAGCAUUACCAGAAAGAAAUAGUAACUUUGAGACAGGCAUACGUCCAUCCUAGGAGAACUGAAUAUAUUUCACCACUCAACUGCUGGCAACGUUCUUUGACGUAUUUGACAGUAUUGCACUCGAAGUCUGAGAAUCGUUUCUGUUUUGUAAAAAUGGUUCGAUUGGGAAACCCCAAGUAAGUCAUUUGGAACGUGUAGCAUUCAGAGCUCCUUCUAGGAUUCCUUUCCCAUGAAGAAGGUUCUCUGACUCACUAAUCUCACUGGCACUCGCCUCCUAGUCAUCUCAGCUGCCUUUGUGCCAGUGCUAGAGCUCUCGUUUUAGCUCCUAAAGCAGCGAGAACAAUAGAAAGAGAAACUCAUUUCAAGUACCAGCAAUGUCUGGGCUGAUAAUAGAGACAAAUAUUGUCAAAGUGAGUGCAAAGUGGAAGUCCUUAAACCUGUGGCUAAGGGGGGCUUUACUGGGUCCUUAAACACCUGCUAUUGCAUGCAAGAUUCCCUCCCUCUGUGUGUGUUUGUGUAAGUGCUUGGGAAGUGCAUGCAGGGCCUUUACUGAAUUAUCAAAGGGGAUGGUGGGCCCAAGCAUUUAAGAAGUACUGGGAAGAUUAAUCACAAAAAUUUUCAAUGACUCUGACGGCUCUGCCGUUGGGUUUUUAUACAGCUUUCCUUCACUCUAUUACACUUCAAAGAGCAGCAUGGUAAUUUCGAAAGAGUCACUGUCAUUAGGUGACUUCUCUGAGACUCAGUUUCCUCAAUGUAAAAUUGGUAUAGAGCAGAAAGAUGACACCAGGUACCAUAGAUGAAAAUACCUCCCAGAGGGCCUUGAAACUAGAUGAGUGUUGAUAUGUGGAUGGUGCCUUCUCUGCUUACUCUUUUUUAAUACAACACAAGCAUAUUGAAAGUAGGGACAACGUCUUCUCUGAAGUUUCGUUUUGCUAUGCCUACCAUGCUUUUUAAUAUUUAUGAACUAAUAUACAUAUGAGGGCUCACAAUAACUUUUGUUGACUAUAACUAUUUGAAUGUACUUUCACUAUCUUUGUUAUUAUAUAAGGAUUUUAAACAAUUAAAUUGGUACUUUCACACUUAUUUAGAGCCUAACUUGACUAGCAGAGAAGAGUAGGUAGAUAUAUACCCCUGGUAAAUACUGAGUAAUUUCUUCACUAAAAUCAAACUACUGAACAUCUACUAUGUGUAUACACAGCGAGGCACUGUACUGUGAGUUGCAGGUAAGAAAAAGUUGUUGGUCACAACCGUGCUCUCCAAGGGUAUUUUAGAAGAGCAGAGCAUGUUCACACAAGAGGACACACGAAGAUAAAACACGGUUUAGGAAUUUAGACAAAAACACAUGGGAUGUGAGAAGAAAGGAGCGUACGGGGAAGGCGUCGUGGAAGAGGCAGUGUCUGACGUGAGCAAGGGGUCAACAUGGAACGGGUGAAAGGAACAACCGAGACAUACAGGCAUGACAUCAUGGGGCACAAACUGGAAAUAAGACCACGUGGUUUAGGCUGGGCACGGGGUCGUUUAAGGAGAUUAGUAAGAGACUAGAGACAAAAGUAUGUCAGUGCCUGACACAGAUUACUUACGAAUAACACUUUUAAACACAAGCAUUUAAUUUAAAAAGAACAUAGAAGAGAACUUCAAGACAUAAUGAACAGAGUAAAAUAUGACAGAAUUCUGGCCAUUAAGACACCACGACAACUUUCAAAAUAGUACUUUUUCUCCCCAUUCUCAGUGGAGGCCCUGGUUGAAUAGAAAUGAUAUUUCUUCUUCAGUCUUAGUAUUCCUGCUUUUUUUUUCUUUUCCAUUUUCGAAACCUCAGGAUAAGCCAUUUCGAUUGUGGCUAAGGGCAGCAAUGCAGCAUCAGAAAAUGCCUUUUGUAACGAGAGAGCAACCCUGACUCCUCAGUUCGUACUCUCUACGUUACUGAUCACAUUGACCGCCCCCAGACUAAGGUUUUUUUUUUUACGUGGUUGGAAAGCAGCAGACUGACUUCAAUUCCACUUUGUCAAACCUACAAAAGCGCCUGCAGUUCAUUUAGCAUCUAAUAGCGCGCAUCCUUCUACUUUUCAUUCCCCGUCCAUUUCUGAACACCGGGCAAGUGAUCUUUCCUUUCCUUGGAAAAGGUUUAAAGAAAAGGAAAUAAAGUCAUACAUCAAUUUCAGGCAUGAAAUCAGACAUAUAUUUCUUCUAGGGUUGUGAAUUUAAAACUUUGCUCAGAAAUUGUUAACACAUAACAAAGUCCAAAUUCAGAAAUCCCUUAAAUUUAAUUACCUUCUUCAGUUGCAUCGAAAUGAAAAAAGUUAAAUUUUCUUACUUGUUUUCUUUCUUCCCCAAAGGCUUCUCCAACUCUAGUCCAUAACUGAGUGGAUCCUUCCCACCUGUGAAAUCACUGGCAGGUAUGACGCUGGUUUAGGCAGCACCAGUCCCCUAAUCCUGACCCAUUUAUUGCCAAAGAAUUCAGUUUCUUCAGAAGCCAAUAAUAGACACUUGCAGUUUCUAAGCAUCAUUAGGGUAUUCUCAGGCACUACUCUUCAACAUAAAGACGCCUCAAAAUUAUAGAAAUUUUAUUGUACUUAAGAUCAAUUGCACUAAUCUGUUAUUUCGUUUACCUUGGACUAGCUUCUUAAAAAUGAAUUAUUAUACUAAUGUCUAUCACUUAUUAUCCAGAAUAGUUAUUUAUAUAGUUAAAUAUUUUAAGACUAGGAAAGAAAGGUGGUAGAAUGAUCUUGUUCUUUGUUCCCUCUUCUAGUUGGUGUGCCUGAUUCAAAAUUCUGGAAUCUUGAAAAUUUAAUAUUUCAAACCCAAACCGUGCACUCAUCACAUAAUAAUAACAACAAACAAACAAAAUCGGUCCUGAGGUUUUCAUCAUCCAGGGAACAGCCCCUGGAGUGGGCCACUUAAAGUGGGCUUUGCCCAGCCGUCCACUCCCUCUGCCUCAGACACUGAAGGUGGAGACAAAGAAACCAACUCAAAUCUUUCUAAAGUGUAUUUCAAAAAAGAGACUCUGUAAUCAGAAAAGCAAUAAUAAUAUAUAAUAGAAUUAACAUAAUUUUUCAGAACCGGUAUUUCUGUCUAAAAGCAAUAUUUAAAAAGGAAAGUGAGCAGAGGUCUAUUUUUUAGCUAUACACCCUGCCACUCCUUUUCACUGAUCUCCUGUUUUAAUUUGUUAAGAUACAAUUACAUGGCUGUUGAGUCAGACUGUCUCUCUAAUUUCAAGUUUAAAGAUAACAGAUCUCCUUUUAAACAGAAUAUUGGCACACAGACGCCCCACAGUCUGGCUUAUUGCAACUGUUCUCUCUUGGUGAAGUGGCACAUUUGCAAUCCCCAUCACAGCCAUCUUCACCAUUUCACAGCAUAUUAUUCAAAUACACAUCUCUAGGUGGCAACAGGAACAGGCACUUCAGCUCAGCAGCAAGGGGUGUGUAAGGAAAUCCUAGGACAAGAGGUAGGAACCCCUAAAUGGGGAGACUAAGUUGAGGAUGCUCAAAUAACCUGAGCUCCAUUGGCUUUCUGACUGCCUGUGGGGAAGGCCUCUCUGGAAACCCUUCUGAGGUGAUCGGGGAAUCCUAGGACAAAUGCGCUGCUUGCUUUCGGGGAAGGACUUGCCCCAAACCCUACACAGCCAGGUGCCUCACAACACAGCUGGACUGAAAAACCUUCAAGAAAGCUAGAAAGAUUGACAUUCACAUGAGUAGUUCCACCUAUGCCUACGCACAGGGAGCAAAAUCUGUAGGUCUGGUCCUGUUUCUCACACCCCAACAGAUCCUGCUGUCCUCAAAACCCUUCUGGUAUGUGCAGUGACUACAAUGAAGGGAGUUAUUGGAGACCAUGUUGGUCCUGGGCUAAAAGCAGGAUUUCUCAUGCCAUGUAUCCGGCGAAAGGACACAGGUAUCAGUAGGGAGAGAGAAAGAACACCAAAACAGGUCUAAGGCAAUGCCCUUGACAAAAUCAGUCAUGGAACAGAGGCGGGGGAUAGGAGUUGACAAGAGUUGGCCUGUGAAUGGGCACAGCAUCCCAGAUAGAAAAAAAAAAAAAAAAAUCAAUGAAAUGAUUGACAGAGAAGAUGAGGAAUGAAGGGAGAAGCAAGACAAGAGACAAGAGAAGUUUCUCCUCUUCGAAACAGAGACUCUUUCUAAUACUGCAGAAGGGUUUUGACAUUGAAAUGAGCACAGACCCAUUCUGACAACUGGAAAGGGGAGGACGACGGACUGUAGAAGGAGAGGGAAGAUUUCUGAUCACUUCCCCAGGCUGCUGGCAAGGACCUGCUGCUCUAAAACCAGAAAAGAACCAAGUGAAGGUUAAAGGAAGGAAGGGAAAAGUGCAAAUGAAAUUAUUUUACUUUUGGAAUCCUCUUCCACAUCUAAGCGAGCCUGGCAUUGAAAUGGACGAUUAUCUUUAAAAGAGUGUAGAGGCUGACCGCCUUCUUUGUCUGCCCAUUAACACCGCUCCUCCGAUCUCAGGCACUCGGCUGAUGAACAUUUCCAUCCCAGUUGUUGCUCCUUUCUCACGGCAGGAUGCAGCGCGGUUCUUGCCCUUCUUCCCUCUGUAUUGCAAACCCCAUUAGUAACCGAGCGGAAAGCACCGCGCAGUGUGGCCAAAGCUAAUAAUAGCCUGCUGCUUACCUUCUCGGGCCGGAGUCAGCGCAUGUCCUGGGCGCCGGGCCGGGCCGCAGUGGCGCCGCG